GAAAAGCUUCACGACUUGAAGCACAGAUGGAAAGCUCAUCAGUAGUUGAAAAGCUCCAUGAGGAACUUGGGGAAUAUGAAAAGAUAGUGAAUUGCAAAAUUUGUGUCAACAGUAGAAAGCAGGUUGUCAUUACAAAGUGCUUCCACUUGUUCUGUAAUCCCUGUGUACAAGAUAUCUUGAAGAGUCAGCAUCGCAAAUGUCCAAGAUGUAGUGCAAGUUUUGGGCCCA
rnacentral:misc_RNA from 1 species